rnacentral:lncRNA from 1 species
CCUAAAGAAAAAUGAUAUCAUUAGAUUGCCAAAUUGAGUCGUAUAUGUUGAGCCUUUUAUUUCUUAUCACCAGAUAUGUCUACCCUUACACCUUAAACAUUUUUCUUUACCCUUUCCAAGCUAGCUAGUGAGCAAUGUGAGAUUGUCUUAUGAGAAAUGUUUGUGAAGUACUUUGAAGCAGUUUAGAAAAAGAAUAAGUGUGGGGGUAUUUCAUGGUUGUAUUUAGUUAUGUGCAAAAUUGGUUCAAAAAUAAAAAAAUAAAAAAAUAAAGAAGAAUAAAAAGAAAAGAAAAAUUGUAUACAAAGCAAAUAAAAAGUUUUUUAAGUUUCAGUUUAGGGGUGUGGUUGGAGGUAAUAGUAGAGUGGUUGGAGAGCUUGAGUUCUUAUAAAAUCUCAACAAGAGAAUUGCUUGCAAUGUAGCUUGGAACUUGUGUUUACCUAUCCUUUCAUUUCUAUAACCCUUUUCCUAAGGCUCAUUACAACCAAUAAAAGUUCUCUUGAUUUAAGUUUUGCAAUUAUGAUUGUGGAGAUGAGAUCUUUAUGCAAGCUUAUGGUAGAUCUUUCACACUUGAUUCUUUGAGCGAAACACGUUAAACUAAAUAUAUGUGUGAUUGAGUGUAUGUCCCGUGAGAAGGUCACUAGUUUACCUGUAGUGUUUUAAAAAAAAAACUUGAAAUUGCAUUAGCAUGGCUAUUACACACACUACACUUCAAGGAUGAUUAAAAGUUUCCUGCUAACAUUUGAAUAAGGAAGAUGAGCUUCGAUUAGCUUGUUUGGUGCUAGCUAAGGUUCUUGAUGAUUUUUUUUCUUGAAUGAAAUUCUAUGAGGGUCACAUAGGGGGAAGCUAUUGUUUUUCACGUUGCAACUUUUUCAUAUUUUCUUCGUUUUGCUCGAGGACUAGCAAAUGCUAAGUGUGGGGGUAUUUGAUAAGCUCACAUUUAUAUAUAUUUUACAUCAAAUUCACUUGUCUUUUCUUAGUUAGUUCCUUAUAUUUUUUAGCUAUUUAUGUUGUUUUUGUGUUUUGUAGGAUUUGUCAAGCAAGGAAAAGAAAAAUAGCACAAGUAGGAUUUUUAGUAACAAAUUCGUCAAAACUGCCUGUGCAGAUCAGCUGAGUUUGGAACGAGUUAUGAACAACUCAAAAUGAAUUAGAGAAUGAGGCUUAUAUGCUUGGAAAGCUACGGAUGUCUAUUUUCUGGAGUAUUUUGCAGAUUGUUAAUAUCAUUUGUCUAGAAGAUGUUAUGGCCAUUUUAACACUGAAAGGUUCCCAAGAGGUUGAGCAGUUUGUAAUUGACAAGACUGCAAUGAAAGCACUAAACCCAAUAAUCUAGCAGUCAAAACUGAUGUAGCCAAGAACAAGUCAGCUGAUACCUAUUCAAAUAUCAGAGGAAAUGGAAAUAAAUAUGAGAAUUAAGUGGGAGUAAUGGGCAUAAAGGCUACCCAAAGAGUUACAAUUGUUUUACCAUUUCCUCUCACUUAUGGUCAUCACUAAAUGACUGUUAGUGGGGUGAGUUAUGGAGAAAAAACUAGGGUAUCAAGCAAGAACAAAAAGGUGCAGGUUGCAGCUGCAAAGAUGGGGGAGAAAAAAAUAGAAUAGAAAGAAAAGGCAAGGCAACAGCGUUGGGGAAGGAAGGAAACGAAGGAGGAAAUCUUGGCAUUCUCUUCUCUCGGUUUUAUCUUCUCAAACUCAUGUCUUUCUAUUGAUUUUAUUUGAUAAUAAUGUGUAACUAAAUUUUUAGUACUUAGGGGCUGGUUUGAAGCCCCGAAUAUGAUUGCAAGUUUGUUAAGACAUUUCCUUUGAAUUACUUUUAUGAAUGGAUGAAAAUUGGUUCACUACUUGUCUCAUUGAUGAAUUCUUUAUUUGUUUUCUACAGAUGCAUACUUAGUAAGCAUAUCUAGGAUUCUAACGCUAUGAAUAUGUGUAUGUCUGCCCUUGUCGAAUGACGACCUACAUAUGUUCUAGAGUGGUACUUGUUAAUCACGAUUAAUAAGUGAACCAAUUUCUAAGAUAAGUAAGACAACGCUAGUACUUACGAUGCCUUGUGAUGACUCAAACUCUUUUCGUUCUUAAUGAUUUCUAAUUGUUAAAUCUAUGAACACACCAUUCUAGAUUGCAUGCUAGGAACUAAGUUAAGUUGAAAACGCCAUUUGAUAGGAUUUUUAACGUCUAUGCAAAUAGAGUCAAAAUCACAUGAAAUACUUGCAAGAAUACAAGGAUAUUGUAGUAUUAUAGAUGCUCAUGCAAGGUCGUUUUCCUCGAGGACUAUGUGGAUAAUUUAAGUAGAAACAAUUCCUAAUUAAAUACUUAAAAUUAAAACUUGAGAAAAGAGAGUUUGAGAGUGGGUAAUAUUAAAAACGAAUUUUAAACAAAAACUAAAAUAAUCAAUGAAAAGAGUUUUAAAUACCAAUUUAUAAAGGCACUAGGGUUCCACCAUCACCUAGCAAUUCUAUGUAUUUUUACCAAUUGCUUAUGAUUUACACAUGCCACUUCGAAUGUUAGGUUUUUCUAAUAUAUAUUCUUCUCGUGAUAUUCAAGCAAGAACAUAUAUUUAACAUGCAAUCCGUCUGUGAUAUUCAGAUCAAAUAUGAACAUGCAAGACUCAUUAAGUUUUAUGAAAACCAUACAACCCCUAAGAACGUGAUGUUCGCCUUAGAUGAAAUUACAAUUAUCAAUCAUAAGAAGCAAUACUCAAUCCUCCGGUGAUAUUCCGACCGAAUUGCAUCCAAUUACUUGUCUAAACAUCCUAAUGGUGGUCAAUCAUCAAGAUAAUUAGAUAGUUUAAAACAGUGAUAAAUAAUUCAAAGUGUGCAUGCAAUCAAUCAUAAGCAAUUAAAUAAAAAUUACAUAUUCAUGCUAAGGCUCAAGGUUUUGCCCUAGCAAGGAGAAUUAGUUAUGCAUAU